rnacentral:rRNA from 1 species
AUUGAACGCUGGCGGCAGGCCUAACACAUGCAAGUCGAGCGGAGCGGCGGACGGGUGAGUAAUGCCUAGGAAUCUGACUGGGAGUGGGGGAUAACGACCGGAAACGGGCGCUAAUCCCGCAUACUAUCAGAUGAGCCUAGGUCGGAUUAGCUAGUUGGUGGGGUAAAGGCAUACCAAGGCGACGAUCCGUAACUGGUCUGAGAGGAUGAUCAGUCACACUGGAACUGAGACACGGUCCAGACUCCUACGGGAGGCAGCAGUGGGGUAUAUUGGACAAUGGGCGAAAGCCUGAUCCAGCCAUGCCGCGUGUGUGAAGAAGUUCUUCGGAUUGUAAAGCACUGUAAUUUGGUAGGCGUUACCAACAGAAUAAGCACCUGCUAACUUCGUGCCAGCAGCCGCGGUAAUUC